rnacentral:rRNA from 1 species
CACGGCAAACGGGUGAGUAAUACCUAGGAACGUGCCAUGAGUUGAGCAUAACCUACCGAAAGGUAGGACAAUUCUCAAUGUGACCGCAAGGUUAAAGUCGCAAGACGCUCAUGAAGCGGCCUAGGCACCAUCAGCUAGUUGGUAAGGUAAAGGCUUACCAAGGCUAUGACGGUUAGGGGCCCCGAGAGGGGAAACCUCCACACUGGAACUGAGACACGGUCCAGACUCCUACGGGAGGCAGCAGUUUGGAAUUUUGGACAAUGGGCGAAAGCCUGAUCCAGCGACGCCGCGUGGACGAUGAAGGCCUUCGGGUUGUAAAGUCCUUUUGUUAGGGAAGAAUAUUUUGACGGUACCUAACGAAUAAGAGGUUGCUAACUCUGUGCCAGCAGCAGCGGUAAUACAGAGACCUCAAGCGUUAUCCGGAAUCAUUGGGCGUAAAGCGUACCGAUAGGUGGUUAUGCAAGUCAGAGGUGAAAUCUCCGAGCUCAACUCGGAAUCUGUCCUUUGAAACUGCACAACUAGAGGGGCAAAGAGGAAGCUGGAACGAACGGUGUAGUAGUGAAAUGCGUUGAUAUCGUUCGGAACACCAAUAGCGAAGGCAGGCUUCUGGGUGCCACCUGACACUGCUAGGACGAAAGCGUGGGGAGCGAAUGGGAUUAGAUACCCCAGUAGUCCACGCUGUAAACGAUGUAAUUCGGCGCUAGGGA